rnacentral:rRNA from 3 species
AUUGCCCUAGUAACGGCGAGCGAAGCGGCAACAGCUCAAAUUUGAAAUCUGGCUAUUUUGUAGUCCGAGUUGUAAUUUGUAGAGGAUGCUUUUGGUGAGGUGCCUUCCGAGUUCCCUGGAACGGGACGCCAGAGAGGGUGAGAGCCCCGUACGGUUGGAUACCAAACCUUUGUAUAGCUCCUUCGACGAGUCGAGUAGUUUGGGAAUGCUGCUCUAAAUGGGAGGUAUAUCUCUUCUAAAGCUAAAUAUAGGCUAGAGACCGAUAGCGCACAAGUAGAGUGAUCGAAAGAUGAAAAGCACUUUGAAAAGAGAGUUAAACAGCACGUGAAAUUGUUGAAAGGGAAGCGCCUAUGACCAGACUUGUUUCUUUCAGUUUUGUUAGUUUUCGGACUGAUUUACUCUGUUAGUACAGGCCAGCAUCAGUUUGUUGUCAGGGAGAAAGGCUUAGGGAAUGUGGCUCUUUCGGGAGUGUUAUAGCCCUUUGCAUAAUACCUUUCGGCAGACUGAGGACCGCGCUUCGGCAAGGAUGCUGGCGUAAUGGUCAUCAGCGACCCGUCUUGAAACACGGACCAAGGAGUCAACCUUAUGUGCGAGUGUUUGGGUGUAAAACCCCAGCGCGUAAUGAACGUGAACGUAGGUGAGAGCUUCGGCGCAUCAUCGACCGAUUCUGAUGUUCUCGGAUGGAUUUGAGUAAGAGCACACAGGGUUGGACCCGAAAGAAGGUGAACUAUGCUUGUAUAGGGUGAAGCCAGAGGAAACUCUGGUGGAGGCUCGCAGCGGUUCUGACGUGCAAAUCGAUCGUCAAAUAUGAGCAUGGGGGGCGAAAGACUAAUCGAACCUUCUAGUAGCUGGUUCCAGC